UCCUCCCUCUUUCUUCGUGCUUAACACAUGCAAGUCGAACGGAAAGGCCCUGCUUUUGUGGGGUGCUCGAGUGGCGAACGGGUGAGUAACACGUGAGUAACCUGCCCUUGUCUUUGGGAUAACUUCAGGAAACUGGGGCUAAUACCGGAUAGGAGCUCCUGCUGCAUGGUGGGGGUUGGAAAGUUUCGGCGGUUGGGGAUGGACUCGCGGCUUAUCAGCUUGUUGGUGGGGUAGUGGCUUACCAAGGCUUUGCCGGGUAGCCGGCCUGAGAGGGUGACCGGCCACAUUGGGACUGAGAUACGGCCCAGACUCCUACGGGAGGCAGCAGUGGGGAAUAUUGCACAAUGGGCGGAAGCCUGAUGCAGCAACGCCGCGUGCGGGAUGACGGCCUUCGGGUUGUAAACCGCUUUCGCCUGUGACGAAGCGUGAGUGACGGUAAUGGGUAAAGAAGCACCGGCUAACUACGUG
rnacentral:rRNA from 1 species